UACGUAGGGGGCGAGCGUUGUCCGGAUUUAUUGGGCGUAAAGAGCGUGUAGGCGGCCAGGUAGGUCUGCUGUGAAAACUCGAGGCUCAACCUCGAGACGUCGGCGGAAGCCAUCUGGCUAGAGUCCGGAAGAGGAGAGUGGAAUUCCUGGUGUAGCGGUGAAAUGCGCAGAUAUCAGGAAGAACACCCGUGGCGAAAGCGGCUUCCUGGUCCAGCACCGACGUUCAGGCACGAAAGCGUGGGGAGCAAACAGG
rnacentral:rRNA from 1 species